GGCCUUGUAGUCAAGAAUGACGUUAGACUGCAAUUCUAAAGGAGUAAAAUUUUACUAAGGCUU
rnacentral:tRNA from 1 species